rnacentral:rRNA from 1 species
UACGGAGGGUGCAAGCGUUAUCCGGAUUCACUGGGUUUAAAGGGUGCGUAGGUGGGUUGGUAAGUCAGUGGUGAAAUCUCCAGGCUUAACUUGGAAACUGCCAUUGAUACUAUCAAUCUUGAGUACCGUGGAGGUCAGCGGAAUAUGUCAUGUAGCGGUGAAAUGCUUAGAUAUGACAUAGAACACCAAUUGCGAAGGCAGCUGGCUAGACGAAUAUUGACACUGAUGCACGAAAGCGUGGGGAUCAAACAGG